CUCUUUAAAGGCCCGGACAUACAAAGGCGGGACAAAAAACCCUAAUCACAUUUCAAAUUUCAAACCCACCACACACACACACUCUCUCUCUCUCUCUCUCUCUCAAAUUCCCUGUGAAUGAAAUCAGAUCUGCGCAUCAAAGAAGAAGAAGAAGAACAAUCUGUUGCUGAUGCCGAUUCAAGCUUCAAUAUAAGAACCACAAUUUCUUCUUUUACCUCUUUCUCUGUAAACAUCACCACCUGGACAGUUCUGGUAAGCUCGAUCUAGGUUAUCAUACCAGUGACGCAGGCCGGCCAAACUAGGAUUUCGACUCCCGAUCUAUUUCUGCACGUAUGUUCUUCAGACAAUCAAGGUCCAAAGUUUUGGGGAACCAUUCUCUAGCACACAAGAAUUCUAGCAAAAUAAGGGUAUCAGAUCAUUAUCAAAAUAAAAAAGAAUUGGGGAAGCUGCUACUCAGGUAUCCUUUUUCAAAGUUCUUAUUUAACAGUAGUGAUAUUGGUAAAAUUUUAUUCUGCUCUUGGUCAUGGAAGACCAAAUCAAAGCACAAAAUAUCACAAAAUUUGUAGAAGUCUACUUUGGGAAGUUGGUUUUGCUGGGUAUUAAUGCUAAGAAGUUGAAAAAUACCAACAUUGGUCCAUCGCCAAAGUCUGAGCUUAGAUGAGCUGAACUUGAAGCACUAGGUCGAAGGAUGUGCUGAGCAAUAUACCCCUUCAUACCAAGGAUAAAGCUAAUAUUAUUGUGGGAAUAGAUUGAUCCAGACGCAAGAUGAUUUAUUGAACGACCGCCAGCCUGCCAGAAUUCUAUAUACUAAUUUUAUACACUUGGCUUACUGUUGCUCAUAUGUUUUAUUGUAUUCUAUGCUUACUGUUGUUUGUUCUCGAAUUGCAAUUUGGCCGAUUCGUUGAUUGAAGUAUCUUAUUUUGGGUAGUUUUAGUUACACACGUGUCUUCUAAUCGAAGGAUAUAAGAUUUCAAUGUUCAAUAUUGUU